AUUGAACGCUGGCGGCAUGCUUUACACAUGCAAGUCGAACGGUAACAGGCCCUCGGGCGCUGACGAGUGGCGAACGGGUGAGUAAUGCAUCGGAACGUGCCCAGUCGUGGGGGAUAACGCAGCGAAAGCUGUGCUAAUACCGCAUACGAUCUGCGGAUGAAAGCGGGGGACCUUAGGGCCUCGAGCGAUUGGAGCGGCCGAGGUCAGAUUAGGUAGUUGGUGGGGUAAAGGCUCACCAAGCCAACGAUCUGUAGCUGGUCUGAGAGGACGAGCAGCCACACUGGGACUGAGACACGGCCCAGACUCCUACGGGAGGCAGCAGUGGGGAAUUUUGGACAAUGGGCGCAAGCCUGAUCCAGCAAUGCCGCGUGCAGGAAGAAGGCCUUCGGGUUGUAAACUGCUUUUGUACGGAGCGAAAAGGCUCCCUCUAAUACAGGGGGCUCAUGACGGUACCGUAAGAAUAAGCACCGGCUAACUACGUGCCAGCCGCCGCCGUAACAC
rnacentral:rRNA from 1 species